GUAAGGAAUAUUGGUCAAUGGAGGCAACUCUGAACCAGCCAUGCCGCGUGCAGGAAGACGGCCCUCUGGGUUGUAAACUGCUUUUAUCCGGGAAUAAACCUGCCUUCGUGAAGGUAGCUGAAUGUACCGGAAGAAUAAGGAUCGGCUAACUCCGUGCCAGCAGCCGCGGUAAUACGGAGGAUCCAAGCGUUAUCCGGAUUUAUUGGGUUUAAAGGGUGCGUAGGCGGCCUGUUAAGUCAGAGGUGAAAGACGGUGGCUCAACCAUCGCAGUGCCCUUGAUACUGAUGAGCUUGAAUGGACUAGAGGUAGGCGGAAUGUGACAAGUAGCGGUGAAAUGCAUAGAUAUGUCACAGAACACCGAUUGCGAAGGCAGCUUACUAUGGUCCUAUUGACGCUGAGGCACGAAAGCGUGGGGAUCGAACAGGAUUAGAUACCCUAGUAGUCC
rnacentral:rRNA from 1 species